AAUAGAUACCCGGGUAGUCCACGCCCUAAACGAUGUCUACUAGUUGUCGGGGAUUAAUUUCCUUGGUAACGCAGCUAACGCGGGAAGUAGACCGCCUGGGGAGUACGGUCGCAAGAUUAAAACUCAAAGGAAUUGACGGGGACCCGCACAAGCGGUGGAUGAUGUGGAUUAAUUCGAUGCAACGCGAAAAACCUUACCUACGCUUGACAUGUCCGGAAUCCUGCAGAGAUGUGGGAGUGCCCGAAAGGGAGCCGGAACACAGGUGCUGCAUGGCUGUCGUCAGCUCGUGUCGUGAGAUGUUGGGUUAAGUCCCGCAACGAGCGCAACCCUUAUCAUUAGUUGCUACGCAAGGGCACUCUAAUGAGACUGCCGGUGACAAACCGGAGGAAGGUGGGGAUGACGUCAAGUCCUCAUGGCCCUUAUGCGUAGGGCUUCACACGUCAUACAAUGGUCGGUACAGAGGGCUGCCAACCCGGCGAGGGGGAGCCAAUCCCAUAAAACCGGAUCGUAGUCCGGAUUGCAGUCUGCAA
rnacentral:rRNA from 1 species